rnacentral:lncRNA from 1 species
GUUCUGUCACAUUUGCUUGAGGCUUUUGUUCUUUCUUCAACUUCUUUGGCUUUCGACAUUCAUUAGAUUUAUGUCCUGGAAUGCCACAGUUGAAGCAUUUGCCUUUGAAUUUCUUUUUGGCCUUGAAAGCUUCUUUGCCUUCACGCUUCCUUUUGUUGUUGUUUGGCCUUUGUUCUACCACAUUUGCCUUUGCUUCAAUGAAGUUUUUUCCACUCUUCUUCUCAGAUCCUCGAUUGUCC